AUUGAACGCUGGCGGCAGGCCUACACAUGCAGUCGAGCGGUACACAGAGAGCUUGCUCUCGGGUGACGAGCGGCGGACGGGUGAGUAAUGUCUGGGAAACUGCCUGAUGGAGGGGGAUAACUACUGGAAACGGUAGCUAAUACCGCAUAAUGUCACAAGACCAAAGUGGGGGACCUUCGGGCCUCAUGCCAUCAGAUGUGCCCAGAUGGGAUUAGCUAGUAGGUGGGGUAACGGCUCACCUAGGCGACGAUCCCUAGCUGGUCUGAGAGGAUGACCAGCCACACUGGAACUGAGACACGGUCCAGACUCCUACGGGAGGCAGCAGUGGGGAAUAUUGCACAAUGGGCGCAAGCCUGAUGCAGCCAUGCCGCGUGUGUGAAGAAGGCCUUCGGGUUGUAAAGCACUUUCAGCGGGGAGGAAGGCGUUAAGGUUAAUAACCUUGGCGAUUGACGUUACCCGCAGAAGAAGCACCGGCUAACUCCGUGCCAGCAGCCGCGGUAAUACGGAGGGUGCAAGCGUUAAUCGGAAUUACUGGGCGUAAAGCGCACGCAGGCGGUCUGUCAAGUCGGAUGUGAAAUCCCCGGGCUCAACCUGGGAACUGCAUUCGAAACUGGCAGGCUAGAGUC
rnacentral:rRNA from 1 species